UACCAGCACCCCGAGUGGUCGGGACGAUUAUUGGGCCUAAAGCAUCCGUAGCCGGCCUUACAAGUCCUCCGUUAAAUCCAGCUGCUUAACAGAUGGCUGCGGAGGAUACUAUAAGACUAGGAGGCAGGAGAGGCAAGCGGUACUCAGUGGGUAGGGGUAAAAUCCGUUGAUCCAUUGAGGACCACCAGUGGCGAAGGCGGCUUGCCAGAAUGCGCUCGACGGUGAGGGAUGAAAGCUGGGGGAGCAAACCGG
rnacentral:rRNA from 1 species